GCCGCCUGAGGGAAGAGGAAGAAGGCAGCGGCUUCGCGUCCCGCCUCUCGCCUGGCUGGCCAUGGGCGGCCUGGACGCGGUUCCCUUGUCCUCCCCGGCGGCCUCUCGAAUCUCCCAGGAAUCCUAAUGUCACCCGAGGAUGCUGGGAGGAACGCUGAGCCGACCUCUCCAUUGGGCUAAAGACUGCACAAACCAUGAUAAUGACCAGCAAGGAUGGAGGGAGCGUAUGAGAUGUGCCGGGCAGUGUGCUACGUCUCAGCCAACUCUAGGAGAUGGAAUGAAGACUGUUUGUUAAAACACCCUGCCCCUCUCUUUACUUGGACCUGAUUUUGAAAGUACAAGUCACUUUAUUUGGGCUGGAGGAAAAAGCACUAAACCAGAUGUUGAGGUGACCGGGAUUCCUGGAAGACGUUCUUCUCUCCGACGAGACGCGUGAUGCAUGAAGUAGGAGCCCCUGGCAAGGAGCCCAGGCUGCCAUGGCCUCGCUCGCUCAUGCUUCCCGGCAUGGCCCCGAGGCUAGCUGCCUCUGUACUGCCUGAGCAUCGUCCCCUGGUGUGUCACCAGACUACUCACUAUCUGUGCUUGCACCUGCGGGUAGGCAGUUCAGUCGCCGCAGGCCGAAGCUCCCUGUCAUAGGAAUCCAUCAACACUGGAGUUCACCAAAUGGCCCAGUCCAGGAAGCAUGGUCAUGGCAAUACCUGGAGUCUCCACCGCAAGACCAGAGUGAUGGAGGCAGCAGAACUCCUCAGCAGACCAGGAGUCUCCAGAGGCACUACAGAAUGUCUAGGAAGCAACCUCAUUGUAUUCCCAAGACCCGGGAAUCCAGGUCUCACAGGACCUGGCACUGGGCUCCGGGCCGCCCCUGCCCCUGGUCCGUCAGUGUUGCUCAAACUAGAAACAGAAGCCAUGCUGGAAGACAGACAGAGCCGCUGACCUAAGCCCAAAGCCAAGGUGGAAUGUGAAAUAUGAACUAUUUACACAUCUCCUAUUUCCAUGGACUAAGAAAAACAGAGAAAGCUGGGCACAGAGCUAUAACUGAGCUCCCUUCUUCUGAGCUCCAAACCACUUCUUUAAAAUGGACCGUUAGAUCUUGGAGGAAGCCGUUUUCCACUAGGCCUAGUGGUGCUGGAGCAGAGCGUGUGCCACCAGCUGAGAAAACAAACCCGAGAAGGAGAAAGUAUACUCAGGUUAACAGGCCCCCGGCAAAGAGUCUCUGUUCCCUGCCUGCCCGCCUGGCCUGCCCUCCCCCGGGGCUGGAACCGUGGGCUUUGGCAGGAGAGGUCUCGGGUAGGGGCCGAGGAUUGGCUGGCCCAGCCACAUAGAACAUAAAGAGAUUUACAGUCUUCUACUUCUGACUUUUAUUAAAUGAAAACCAGAGGUAUAAAAAUAAGGCAGCAAAUAACACCAUAACAGGAAAUAAAAGGGGCGAAGCGGGGGCAAGGCCGCCCCUUGAGGAUGGCGUGCCCAUUGCGACGCGGGUGUCCACGGCCGUGACUCUCACUAGCCACACUCCAUGGAGAGGAAGCCGCCGCAAACGAAGGCAGCAGGGCAGGACUGUCUGCAUCAGGGGCUCGUGGGUCUGGAGCUCACUGAGAAAGGUUUAAGCUUUGGUGAAAUCUUAACUGUGCCUUGUCAAUAUUUUUCCUCUUUUGUGUGGAAAUCUUUGUUUAUUCUAAGUAACAUCUCGUAUAUUUGUUUCCAGUUUGUUUUAUACCUCCCUGAAACUAGUUAAGUUAAAAGCCACCUGAUGCUGGAAAGCCCUUUAUGGACUGUGUGUGUGGAUGUGCGUGUGUAUGUGUGAAAGAGAAAAUAGUCAUACUUUUUAUUUUAAGUAGCCAGCAAUUGGAGCUAAGUAUGACAUUCGGAACCUUCGUCCGUAGUUUCUGAGUGGGAUUUGUUCUUUGGAGGCAAUCCAUGAACCUCCCAGCCACAGAGCUCUCAUCUGAUUGGCAAUUCCCAGCACUGAAGAGCAAAUCCUGCUCUGGGAGCCUCAUGUAUUUCUUUUCCUUUUUCCAGACCCGUACCUGGGCUCUGAUUCAUCAGCUAAAUUCAGGUGGAAGAUAUCAGAUGCUUAUAAAAAUAUUCUAAAGUCAUGCCUAAACUUUAAGGGGGAAAGGUCUAGAUGUUUCAUUAAACAUUUAUCACUUUUUUGGAGGGAAAGAAACUUUAUUUUCCUCUCUUGGGGAAUUACCCAGAAGCCAUAAAAUGCUCUUUUAUAACUGAGUAUCCCAGUUUACAUCUCAUGGAAUGAAGCAAAAUAAAUACAAACUUUAAAAAUAUGGUCACAGCCCAUAUAUUUUAAAAAGCAUUGUCACCACGGAGCAACGCGGCUCAAAUAUGUUUCUUUCAUGUUUAACCAUACGGGGUGGGUAGAUUUCACCCGAGUAUCAGUCUUGUUUCCCUAUGAACUGUCUGAUUUCUGCUGUAGUAUUCAUAAAAAGGAGUGGUAAUGGAAUCUUAUGUCUUAUUUACAAAGUAAAAUGUUACCAAAAUCUGAAAAUAAUUCCUAAGGAUGAAUUUCUUUUCACCUUUCCCCACUGGACCCUUCAAAUUUUUCUUCAGUGGCUUUACUUUUGCUUUUCUUCAAGUUUUACUUUCCCUUGGAGUUUAUAUGAAGGAAAUGGAACGAGGUCUGGGAUUUGCUUCAAAACAGUCCAGUGGGGCGAGCCAGUGGGGGAUGCAGGUAAGAGUCUAGGUGAGACCGGCUUGGGUGUGAGCUAAUUGUUAUUGAAGCUACGUGUUGGGCACAGGGAGGUUUAUUAGAUUACUCUGUUUUGCCAUGUGUUUGAAAAUUUCCAUUAAAAUGUCUUCCUCAAUUCU
ensembl:lncRNA